rnacentral:rRNA from 1 species
ACUUAACUGAAGAGUUUGAUCAUGGCUCAGAUUGAACGCUGGCGGCAGGCCUAACACAUGCAAGUCGAGCGGAUGAGAGGAGCUUGCUCCUCGAUUCAGCGG